rnacentral:rRNA from 1 species
UACGUAGGGGGCUAGCGUUGUCCGGAAUCAUUGGGCGUAAAGCGCGUGUAGGCGGCCCGGUAAGUCCGCUGUGAAAGUCCAGGGCUCAACCCUGGGAUGCCGGUGGAUACUGUCGGGCUCGAGUCCGGAAGAGGCGAGUGGAAUUCCUAGUGUAGAGGUGAAAUUCGUAGAUAUUAGGAAGAACACCGGUGGCGAAGGCGGCCCACUGGUCCGGUACUGACGCUGAGGUGCGAAAGCGUGGGGAGCAAACAGG